CACUGGUUUGGGAAAAGUUUCCAUCACCCAGGUGCCUUCUAUAGAAACUUAAGCUAAAGACUUUGGGUCGAGCCAUGCAAGCCGACCUUGAACUGAUUUAUUUGCUGUCUUAGAGGUGCAGGCAAGAGUGUAGCCCCGGAGAUGUGUGUUGGGAACACUCCAGGAGGAUAUCGUUUAACCUACCAUGGUGCAGUUCAGUCUAAUUUACAGUCGCUUUCAACUUACGUGGCACACAAGCACCGCAGGUUGCCUAUUAAGGAAGCCCUGACAAAGCGAUCUUACACCAGAUGGAAUUCAGCCACAGAAAUUGUAAACAAAACCCGAGAACAGACAUCGAGAGCAUGCGUUUCUGAAGCUUGCGACAAAGGUUUUUAAGGAACACAAUCAAGAGACACGACUAGAAAAAGCAAAAGAGCUUCUUUGUUUCGGAGGUUCCAUGGACUUUUCUAGCAAUUUCCUCUGCUUCAGCAAUUCUUUUACCUGACAACAUGACAAGAAAAGAUGUUUAAAACUUUUAAACAGCGCAAACGUUGGUACAAUAAAGGUUACUUACAGUA
rnacentral:lncRNA from 1 species